UGCAGUCGACGAUGAAGGAGGAGCUUGCUCCUCCGGAUUAGUGGCGAACGGGUGAGUAAUACGUGAGCAAUGUGCCCUUGACUCUGGGAUAAGCGCUGGAAACGGCGUCUAAUACCGGAUACGACGAUCGGAGGCAUCUCCUGGUCGUGGAAAGAACUUCGGUCAAGGAUCAGCUCACGGCCUAUCAGCUAGUUGGUGAGGUAACGGCUCACCAAGGCGACGACGGGUAGCCGGCCUGAGAGGGUGACCGGCCACACUGGGACUGAGACACGGCCCAGACUCCUACGGGAGGCAGCAGUGGGGAAUAUUGCACAAUGGGCGCAAGCCUGAUGCAGCAACGCCGCGUGAGGGACGAAGGCCUUCGGGUUGUAAACCUCUUUUAGCAGGGAAGAAGCGAAAGUGACGGUACCUGCAGAAAAAGCACCGGCUAACUACGUGCCAGCAGCCGCGGUAAUACGUAGGGUGCAAGCGUUGUCCGGAAUUAUUGGGCGUAAAGAGCUCGUAGGCGGUUUGUCACGUCUGCUGUGAAAACCCGAGGCUCAACCUCGGGCUUGCAGUGGGUACGGGCAGACUAGAGUGCGGUAGGGGAGAUUGGAAUUCCUGGUGUAGCGGUGGAAUGCGCAGAUAUCAGGAGGAACACCGAUGGCGAAGGCAGAUCUCUGGGCCGUAACUGACGCUGAGGAGCGA
rnacentral:rRNA from 1 species